rnacentral:tRNA from 1 species
GAGGGUAUAGCUCAGUGGUAGAGCGCAUGCUUAGUGUGCUCGAGGGCCUGGGUUCAACACCAAGUACCUCCC